GUGUCAGCAGCCGCGGUAAUACAGAGGGUGCGAGCGUUGUCCGGAAUCACUGGGCGUAAAGGGCGCGUAGGUGGCGUCGCAAGUCGAUGGUGAAAGCUCGUCGCUCAACGACGAGUCGGCCCUUGAUACUGCGAGGCUGGAGCACUGUAGAGGCAGAUGGAAUUCCGGGUGUAGCGGUGGAAUGCGUAGAGAUCCGGAAGAACACCGGUGGCGAAGGCGGUCUGCUGGGCAGUAGCUGACACUGAGGCGCGACAGCGUGGGGAGCAAACAGGAUUAGAUACCCUGGUAGUCC
rnacentral:rRNA from 1 species